CCUACGGUGGCAGCAGUGGGGAAUAUUGGACAAUGGGCGAAAGCCUGAUCCAGCCAUGCCGCGUGUGUGAAGAAGGCCUUCGGGUUGUAAAGCACUUUCAGUGGGGAAGAAAGCCUUGGGGCUAAUACCCUCGAGGAAGGACAUCACCCACAGAAGAAGCACCGGCUAACUCCGUGCCAGCAGCCGCGGUAAUACGGAGGUGCGAGCGUUAAUCGGAAUUACUGGGGUAAAGCGCGCGUAGGCGGUCUGAUAAGCCGGUUGUAAAGCCCCGGGCUCAACCUGGGAACGGCAUCCGGAACUGACAGGCUAGAGUGCUGGAAAGUAAGGUGGAAUUCCAGGUGUAGGGGUGAAUUGCGUAGAGAUCGGGAGGAAGACCAGUGGCGAGGGCGGCCUUCAAGACUGACACUGACGCUGAGGUGCGAAAGCGUGGGUAGCAAACAGGAUUGGAUCCCCAGUAGUC
rnacentral:rRNA from 1 species